rnacentral:misc_RNA from 1 species
UAUGAAGAACGUAGCGAAAUGCGAUAAGUAAUGUGAAUUGCAGAAUUCAGUGAAUCAUCGAAUCUUUGAACGCAUCUUGCGCUCCUUGGUAUUCUGAGGAGCAUGCCUGUUUGAGUGUCAUUAAAUUCUCAACUACACUGACUUUGAAUUGGUGUGGCUUGGAUUUGGGGGGAAAAUUGUUGUGGGCUUUUUGUAUAGUCUGCUCCCCUGAAAUUGAUUAGCGGUACCUUUGUGGAACUGUCUACAGGUGUGAUAAUUAUCUACAUCUUAGACAUCUGCUGGAAUGCUGCUUUCUAAACCUUACUUGUAUUGACAAUCUUGACCUCAAAUCAGGUAGGACUACCCGCUGAACUUAAGCAUAUCAAUAAGCGGAGGA